rnacentral:rRNA from 1 species
UACAGAGGGUGCAAGCGUUGUCCGGAUUUAUUGGGCGUAAAGAGCGUGUAGGCGGUUCGGUAAGUCUGUCGUGAAAUCCUGAGGCUCAACCUCGGGCGUGCGAUGGAUACUGCCGGGCUAGAGGGUGGUAGAGGCGAGUGGAAUUCCACGUGUAGCAGUGAAUGCGUAGAGAUGUGGAGGAACACCGAUGGCGAAGGGCAGCCUCCUGGGCCAGCACUGACGCUGAGGAGCGAAGCCAGGGAGCAAACGGG